rnacentral:lncRNA from 1 species
UACCGGUUCAAACCAGUUUUGAGGCCGGGCUGUUGCCUAUUCACGUCUGCCCGUAGGGGCGUUGGCAUGGCAACCGGAGAAAUCAGGGCGUGCCUGCAGCGACAAAAAACACCUCCUGUCCUUUUCCAGGGUGCGUGUCUCUCAGUUGGGCAGUUUCCUCACAGUCCAAGGGGAGUUUCUGCUUCUCGUUCUCCUACCACCCAGUGUUCUCAGAGCAAUAUUAUGUAAAUAGGCAGAGUCUUUCUGAACUCUAGUGACCAACUAUAAUACUUAGAAAGAAGAAUAAGGCGACUGGGAGAGCUUGAGAAGACAUGUCUGCUCGGCCAGCCAUCUUGUCUCCACCCUGUUAUUUAUAUGCUUAUGUUUAUCAGCUGCCCAAAGACAUCUUUACUUACAGAGCAGCUNU